UACGUAGGGUGCAAGCGUUGUCCGGAAUUAUUGGGCGUAAAGAGCUCGUAGGCGGUUUGUCGCGUCUGCUGUGAAAACUCGGGGCUUAACCCCGAGCCUGCAGUGGAUACGGGCAGACUAGAGGUAGGUAGGGGAGAAUGGAAUUCCCGGUGUAGCGGUGAAAUGCGCAGAUAUCAGGAGGAACACCAAUGGCGAAGGCAGCUCGCUGGGACGUGACUGACGCUGAGACGCGAAAGCGUGGGGAGCAAACAGG
rnacentral:rRNA from 1 species